rnacentral:rRNA from 1 species
GAUGAACGCUGGCGGCGUGCUUAACACAUGCAAGUCGAACGGAAAGGCCCUGCUCUUGUUGGGUGCUCGAGUGCCGAACGCGUGUGUAACACGUGAGUAACAUGCCCUUGACUUUGGGAUAUCUCCAGGAGACUGGGGCUAUUACCGGGUAGGAUCUCCUGCAGCAUGGUGGGGGAUAGAGAGAUUCGGCGGUUCUGGCUCGACUCGCUGGUUAUCCGCUUGUUUGUGUAGUAGUGGCUUUCCAAGCCUUUGACGGCUAGCCGGCCUGAGAGGGGUGACGGGCACAAGGGGACUGAGAGACGGCGCAGAAUCCUACGGGAGGCAGUAGUGGAGAAUAUGGCACAAUGGGCGGAAGCCUGAUACAGAAACGCCGCGUGCGUGAUGACGGCCUACGGGUUAUGAACCGCUUUCGCCUGUGACGAAGCGUGAGUGACGGUAAUGGGUCAAGAAGCACCGGCUAACUACGUG